UACGUAGGGGGCAAGCGUUGUCCGGAUUUAUUGGGCGUAAAGAGCUCGUAGGCGGUCUGUCGCGUCGGCUGUGAAAACCCGAGGCUCAACCUCGGGCCUGCAGUCGAUACGGGCAAACUGGAGUGUUGCAGGGGAGACUGGAAUUCCUGGUGUAGCGGUGAAAUGCGCAGAUAUCAGGAGGAACACCGGUGGCGAAGGCGGGUCUCUGGGCCGAUACUGACGCUGAGGAGCGAAAGCGUGGGGAGCGAACAGG
rnacentral:rRNA from 1 species